ACUCCUACGGGAGGCAGCAGUAGGGAAUCUUCCGCAAUGGACGAAAGUCUGACGGAGCAACGCCGCGUGAGUGAUGAAGGUUUUCGGAUCGUAAAACUCUGUUGUUAGGGAAGAACAAGUACCGGAGUAACUGCCGGUACCUUGACGGUACCUAACCAGAAAGCCACGGCUAACUACGUGCCAGCAGCCGCGGUAAU
rnacentral:rRNA from 1 species